GGAGAAAAGUAGGGGAUCGCAAGACCUUGCGCUCUUGGAGUGGCCGAUGCCUGAUUAGCUAGUUGGUGAGGUAAAGGCUUACCAAGGCGACGAUCAGUAGCUGGUCUGAGAGGACGACCAGCCACACUGGGACUGAGACACGGCCCAGACUCCUACGGGAGGCAGCAGUGGGGAAUUUUGGACAAUGGGGGAAACCCUGAUCCAGCCAUGCCGCGUGAGUGAAGAAGGCCUUCGGGUUGUAAAGCUCUUUCAGCCGGAACGAAACGGUCACGGCUAAUACCUGUGACUACUGACGGUACCGGAAGAAGAAGCACCGGCUAACUACGUGCCAGCAGCCGCGGUAAUACGUAGGGUGCAAGCGUUAAUCGGAAUUACUGGGCGUAAAGCGUGCGCAGGCGGUUUUGUAAGUCAGAUGUGAAAUCCCCGGGCUUAACCUGGGAACUGCGUUUGAAACUACAAAGCUAG
rnacentral:rRNA from 1 species